AACCACGGUCCCUUCAUGUUUCAAGUGCAAUUAAAACAAGUAACGUACACGGUCUUCUUCUUCUUUGUUUUCUUGCUCUUGAAGAGAAGGGUUUUACAUCAGAAGGAGGAAAUGACGACGACCCUCUUCGUCUGUUUCGAGUGCGGUGGCGAAGAGACAAGCAAUGGUGGCGAAUUCCUCCAAACUUCGUUAUGCAGGUUUUGAGCUAGUACUGCAAAUGGACGUCUUAGUAAUGGAUGUGCAGUAGUUCCACAAUCACCAUCAAAUUUUUCUCUGCUAUUACCAAUUUGAAGGACAUCUGAAAUGUCGCUCCACCUACAUCAAAACAAUAUAGAUCAGACUUUAUAGACAUGUAUGUUCAUGUACAUGCAAAGUCAUAUAGGAAUCUGCAUACAUUUCCUAUAUUCUAAUGUUUGGUUUACUGAAACAGUACAAAUUUCCUAUAGUCAUUUACACAUCUG